rnacentral:rRNA from 1 species
UACGGGGGGGCAAGCGUUGUUCGGAAUUACUGGGCGUAAAGGGCGCGUAGGCGGCCUGCUAAGUCGGACGUGAAAUCCCUCGGCUCAACCGGGGAACUGCGUCCGAUACUGGUGGGCUCGAAUCCGGGAGAGGGAUGUGGAAUUCCAGGUGUAGCGGUGAAAUGCGUAGAUAUCUGGAGGAACACCGGUGGCGAAGGCGGGUCGCUGGGCAUCUCCUGACGCUGAGGCGCGGAAAGCGUGGGGAGCAAACGGGG